rnacentral:rRNA from 1 species
UUCCUGUACUUGGUGUUACUGCGAAGGGGGGACGGAGAAGGCUAUGUUAGCCGGGCGACGGUUGUCCCGGUUUAAGCAUGUAGGCUGGUUAUCCAGGCAAAUCCGGAUAAUCAAGGCUGAGGUGUGAUGACGAGGCACUACGGUGCUGAAGUAACAAAUGCCCUGCUUCCAGGAAAAGCCUCUAAGCAUCAGGUAACAUCAAAUCGUACCCCAAACCGACACAGGUGGUCAGGUAGAGAAUACCAAGGCGCUUGAGAGAACUCGGGUGAAGGAACUAGGCAAAAUGGUGCCGUAACUUCGGGAGAAGGCACGCUGGUGUGUAGGUGAAGUCCCUGCGGAUGGAGCUGAGACCAGUCGAAGAUACCAGCUGGCUGCAACUGUUUAUUAAAAACACAGCAC